rnacentral:misc_RNA from 1 species
GAUGAAGAACGCAGCGAAAUGCGAUAAGUAAUGUGAAUUGCAGAAUUCAGUGAAUCAUCGAAUCCUUGAACGCACAUUGCGCCCGCCAGUAUUCUGGCGGGCAUGCCUGUUCGAGCGUCAUUUCAACCAUCAAGCCCCCGGCUUGUGUUGGGGACCUGCGGCUGCCGCAGGCCCUGAAAACCAGUGGCGGGCUCGCUAGUCACUCCGAGCGUAGUAAUACAUCUCGCUCAGGGCGUGCUGCGGGUUCCGGCCGUUAAAAAGCCUUAUUUACCCAAGGUUGACCUCGGAUCAGGUAGGAAGACCCGCUGAACUUAAGCAUAUCAAUAAGCGGAGGA